rnacentral:rRNA from 1 species
UACGUAGGGUGCGAGCGUUAAUCGGAAUUACUGGGCGUAAAGCGUGCGCAGGCGGUUUUGUAAGCCAGAUGUGAAGGCCCCGGGCUUAACCUGGGAAUGGCAUUUGGGACUGCAAGGCUAGAGUGCGGCAGAGGAGACUGGAAUUCCUGGUGUAGCAGUGAAAUGCGUAGAUAUCGGGAGGAACACCAGUGGCGAAGGCGAUCAUCUGGGACUAACCUGACGCUGAGGAGCGAAAGCCAGGGGAGCAAACGGG